rnacentral:pre_miRNA from 1 species
UACAAUAUUUGACUAUUCGUCUUAUUUAAAUUUUUUAAGAUUAAUAUUUUUAUUGUUAUUAUAUGAUAAAAUAUGAAUAGUAUUUUAUAUCUGACUUAUUUUUUGAGUUUUUCAUAAAUUUUUAAAUAAGAUAGAUGGUUAAACAAUGGACAUGGAAA